rnacentral:lncRNA from 1 species
AAUAACACACUCCACACACAUUAGUCUAAGCUUAUGUUUACUCUCUUAUGUUCUUGUGUUUGUGAAUAUCAGGAAGCAGCGGCUCUGGCCGCUGCAGAAGUUGCGUUUAUGUUACACAGCGGUGGAGGACAACGCAGAGGAGGAUUGCACUAUGCUGUAGCACCUGAGCUGGUACCGAGUCCACAAGGGCAACAACACCAACCUGAAGCUGCACCGCAAUGAUUAUAUAUAGUCUUGAUCACUAGUGAGGAAAGUAAAAACAUCAUCCAGGGAUUUGGUUUCUCUGUCUGUAGUAGCUGUUUGUUGUUUAUUCGGUUCUUGGAACAGAGCAAAAAAUUAAAAGCUUCAAAAUUUCAAUUUAAAGCAACAAGAGUCAGCAAGCAAAUUCAUCUUCUGAACCUCCCACCUCUACCACCACCACGUCCACCUCUUCUUCCCCCACCGCGACCUCCCCCACCGUGCCCAUUACCGUUAGACCCAGGAGUUUUCAUGUUUUCAGGCAACGGGAGGAUGUGAUCAACGCACUUCCUGUAGCUGAAAUCAUCAGCAGUGUCGUCUUCCCUAACCAAAAAGAAGCACCUGCUCUUCCACAUCGGAUGGGUUCUUACUUGGAAGGCUUUGAUCCCUCCUCCAAUCUUAUUGUCAGGCUCAGUAUGGCCUUUCUUGAUCAGAUCUAACAGCACCAUGUGUUCAUACUGAAAAAUGUAACAAAUUAGUUAUAACCUCCAAAGAAACUGCAAUAACAAGCACAUACAGUAUACAUCAACUUAACCUCUGUUGUCUAACCAAUAUUCAGAAAAUUACAAGAACACACUUCCUAUUCAUGCAAAUGUAUAUAUAUAUAUAUAAAAGAUUUUUUUUUUUUUUUUUUGCAAAUAACUUUCGAGUAGUAAUCAAAGUAACAUCUGCAAAGGAACACACUUCCCAAUCUGUUUCAGUUGGGCUACAAAGUCACGAUUUUUAUCAUGUAUUAUUAUCCUCUUCCUAAACACAUUGCAUCAUCCACAACCACAAAUGUUAUUAUUUAUUUAUUUAUUUGUGCACAAAUGUUAUUAACAAUCAAUAAAUAAGAGACAAAACAGAGUAUCUACACACAACACAAACUCAAUCAAAACCGACAAAGAACAGACAUUUUUGCAAAGAACUUUCCAGCAGUAAUCAAACUAAGAACUAACAAAGGAACACACUUCACAGUUGAUAAAUCAUCUUUCCUAAACAAGUUGAGUUUCAUUGUAAAGUUUCAAUUUUUUAUUAUAACCCAAUAUCAACAACCCAACAAACAUAAUAAAAAUCGAAACUUUACAAUUAAAAAAAGGCAAAAAGACAAGAAGAAGAUCAACACUACAUACCUUGUUGACAUCGAGAUCAGUUGGCCAGAAGUGCAUAAACUUGGUGAAGUAAUCAAACAUCGCCACAGAGGUAACGAACUCCUUCGGACCCAGCUUAACCGGAUCCGACCCGUUGGGUUUCUCUUCCUCUUCCACUUUCUGCUUCUUGGAUUCGCCUCCAUCCUCUGUUUCCUUCGUCUCCUCUCUCGCGCGUUUCUCCGCAGCCUCCACUUCCAUGUCUGUUAUUGGUUCAGCUGGCGCGGAAGCUACGAUCUCUUGUUGCUCAGCCAUUGUUAAGCUUUCGCCUUUUCUCUCUUUCUAUGGUUGCUAGGGUUUAAGCUUUAGGUCGAGUGUCCUCCUACUAAAAAUAAGGUGAGCGGCGUGUUUAUAUAUUACCGUCGGUUUUUGAUUGAACCGAACCGGUUUAUUCCGGUUUUGUUAAUUGUUUGUUUAUUUAUACUACUUUACUAAUUUCCCUCUGUAGAAUUCUACAAUUAGCUUCUUUUUUUUAAUGAGAUGUUAAUUGUUAAUGAGUUUGAAAGGUAAAAUUUAGUUGUCAAAAAAAAAGUUCAUAAAAAUUUCCAACUUGCUGCUAAUUUUUAACAGUUAUUUUUUUAAAUAUAUAUAUUAGAAUAUAAUUUACAUUUAUCAGAGUUAAUUUAUUCAUUUAUAAUGUUUUUAGAAAUUUUCAUUUAAGCAUUAGAUAUUCAAGUCACAAGAAGGUUUAUAUAUUUUUAUUGGAAUGAAUAAUUCAUUGAUAAACACCUAAAAUUAAUUAGUUUUAUCUUUAUUUGUUAAAAAAAGUUAUAUAUAUUAUCUACAUUUAUUGAUUUCACUAGAUUUUUUUUUUGUAUUUUCUAGUUAAGAAUAAAUACAAGAUCUUUAUUUAUUAUUUUAAUUAAAUUGGUUUCUUUGAAACCUUGAUUGUGACCAGGAUUGAUACAAAAUAAAAAAAUUAUGAAAUAUCUGAUAGCAACCAAGAAAGUAACUCCGUUACCGUUUGGUUUGAGAGUAGGUGAGAGUACCGUGAGAUAGAUUAUUAUCAACUCAACUCUUCUGAGAAUGCCUUCUAACGGACGCACCGUGUUAAACCGUCAACAUCCACAGCUCCGGUUUGUGUAUUGAAAACGUAUAGUACAGUAAACACGCGCUUCGAGACAUUUAAUAUACUUAUCUGAAAAUCAUUCAGACCGAACAUCAACACAAGAAAACACAUUUUGUACCAAAGUUUCGUUCGAUAGCUGUUCGUGCCUUCAAAAAAUCAUCGAUAGAUAGCUUCUUUCUACGAUUCUAGAGUAUAUUCUAUCAGGUAACAAUAACAAUCUUUGAUCUUCUCUGUCCUCUAGGGUUACGGUUGCUUGUUUCUGCGAUUGAGAAUUUUGAUUUCUGAAUUGUGAUCGAAUCUUCUCUCUCUCUCGUUCGUUCGUGUUCAUGGUUGAGAUUGGAUCCUAAACAUUUGUUGGGAGCUUUCUUGUUUUUUUUUAACAGGUCAACGUUUUUUUUCAGCAUUGAGGGUAAAGUGUGAGAGAGAUGUCAGAUCAUCUGAGUUCAUGUACCGACCGUCUCGUUACAUCUGAUCACCUUAAUUCAGAGGGAGGAUCCAAUGAAUCUUCUGGAGAAUGUUCCAGAGCUCAAGCCACUACUAAACCUAUAGAUGAUAAGGAAGGAAGCGAGCAAGAACACGUCAUUGAUGAAGAGGAGCCGCUUAUUCAAUCAGUUGAGUGUCGUAUUUGCCAAGAAGAGGAUUCUGUUAAGAACCUCGAGUCUCCAUGUUCUUGUAGCGGCAGCUUGAAGGUGAGUUGUUCUUGUGUUUUUGUCAGUACAUUUCUACCUGAAAACUGAACUACUUUGGUUUUAUGUUUUAUCUAGUAUGCUCAUAGGAAGUGUGUUCAGCGUUGGUGUAAUGAGAAAGGCGACACCAUCUGUGAGAUAUGCCACAAGGUAAACAUAUAUAAUCAAUGUUCAAGAAAUCGCUAGGCGGUGGUUAAACGUUUUAUAUCAGAUUAUUGAUUAUGCGGGCGUCUAGACCAAAAUGCCCAAGAAAAAAAAACAAAAUCAACAUAAUAUUUUUAAGAAAAAUCGUUUGGUUUGGGUCUAAUUUGCAGCCGCCUAGACCGAUUUUUAGAAAAAUAAAUGUCAUCAUUGAUUAUAAUCAUUUUCAUUGCAAUUACUAAGAUCUUUGUUUUCUUCUCCCUUGAUGAUAACAACAGUCUUAUCAACCUGGCUACACAGCUCCACCACCUGAUGAUACCAUUAUCGAUAUGGGGUAACAUUUUCUGUAUCUAUCUCUCUUGUGGUUUCAUAUAACUAAAUCUUAUUUUAUUCAAGAAACGUUUGUUAUGUUUGUGUGUGUUAUGCAGUGAAGAUUGGGCUAAUGGUGUUCCCUUAGACUUGAACGAUCCGCGCAUUUUAGCAAUGGCGGCUGCAGAACGUCACUUCUUUGAUGCGGACUAUGACGAGUAUGCUGAUUCUAACUCUAGUGGAACUGCGUUUCUUCGCUCUGCUGCACUUAUCGUAAGCCCCCACAUUAAUGUUCUGUUUAUAACAUUUCUUUGUUGAAAAAUUGAAACUUAUUGAGAGUUGAAAUGGCAGUUAAUGGCACUUUUGUUGUUAAGACACGCUAUGAACCUUUCAAACAACAACUCAGACGACGAAGAAGAUGAUCCAUCAGCUUUCUUCUUUGUAAGCAACAUCUCUUGCUACACCGUUAAAUAAUCUCUCGUUUUGAAUGUUUUGAGCCUGAAGGCCCAUGAUGAGGCCCAAACCAUUUUAAAUUAAUUUUUCUUGAAAAAAAAAUAUCUUGUCAUAGUAUUUACUCUCUCUCUCUCUCUCCCUUUGGUUUCGGACAGCUUUUCAUGCUACGUGCUGCUGGUUUUCUCCUCCCGUGUUACAUCAUGGCUUGGGCCAUCAGUAUAUUACAACGCCGUAGACAAAGACAGGUAAAAUAACACACUCCACACACAUUAGUCUAAGCUUAUGUUUACUCUCUUAUGUUCUUGUGUUUGUGAAUAUCAGGAAGCAGCGGCUCUGGCCGCUGCAGAAGUUGCGUUUAUGUUACACAGCGGUGGAGGACAACGCAGAGGAGGAUUGCACUAUGCUGUAGCACCUGAGCUGGUACCGAGUCCACAAGGGCAACAACACCAACCUGAAGCUGCACCGCAAUGAUUAUAUAUAGUCUUGAUCACUAGUGAGGAAAGUAAAAACAUCAUCCAGGGAUUUGGUUUCUCUGUCUGUAGUAGCUGUUUGUUGUUUAUUCGGUUCUUGGAACAGAGCAAAACAAGAAACUGAGAUUA